AACGUAGGACACAAGCGUUAUCCGGAGUUACUGGGCGUAAAGAGCUCGUAGGUGGUUUGUCGCGUUGUUCGUGAAAACUCACAGCUUAACUGUGGGCGUGCGGGCGAUACGGGCAGACUGGAGUACUGCAGGGGAGACUGGAAUUCCUGGUGUAGCGGUGGAAUGCGCAGAUAUCAGGAGGAACACCGGUGGCGAAGGCGGGUCUCUGGGCAGUAACUGACGCUGAGGAGCGAAAGCGUGGGGAGCGAACAGG
rnacentral:rRNA from 1 species